rnacentral:rRNA from 1 species
UACGAAGGGGGCUAGCGUUGCUCGGAAUCACUGGGCGUAAAGGGUGCGUAGGCGGGUCUUUAAGUCAGGGGUGAAAUCCUGGAGCUCAACUCCAGAACUGCCUUUGAUACUGAGGAUCUUGAGUUCGGGAGAGGUGAGUGGAACUGCGAGUGUAGAGGUGAAAUUCGUAGAUAUUCGGAAGAACACCAGUGGCGAAGGCGACUUACUGGACACAUAUUGACGCUGAGGUGCGAAAGCAUGGGGAGCAAACAGG